rnacentral:lncRNA from 1 species
UACUCGUCAAAUCUUUAACCUCUCUCUACAAAAACAGCACUACGCUUUUGAAUUAUUUUUGNUUUUAAAAUACAAAAUGUUUGGUGGGUUGUAGAUUAAUUGUUAUGUUGUCUAUCUUCCAAAGAUGUGUAGUUUUAAAGUUCAUCGACUUUCACACUAAAGGAGAAGUGAAACUCUCUAGACUUCUAAGAUUUCUAGUUAGCACUAUGAACAAAGGGUUAGUUUGUGAAAGCACUUGGAUAUUACCUUUUAUACUUGGUGGUAAUGUAGGACGCAACCUCUAUAGAAAUAAAAAAGUUGCUAGUUUUAAAUUAACUGUAGCUGAACAUGAAUGAAAGGAUGAAUAUCUUCUUUAAUGUAGCAGAAAGUUUUCAUUUUUCCUAUUAAUCUGAUCUAAAAAAAUGUAGAGUUUUUGGUGACUUUGAAACUCCUUAUAUGUGGAUAACCUCUCUUUUAUUAAAUUUGACUAAUAAAAUAUUUCAAUAGAGGCCUUUUUUAUCUAGGAAAGGAGUAAUAGUAUUGGUAGUUUAUUGUAACCUUUGUCUCUUAGUUGCUUAUAAAAAAGCCAAAAAUGAGACCAUUAUUCAGUACCAGAAAAAUUGGAUGGACAAGUCCAUUAGAUUUGACCAAUGACAUGCAAAUUUUGAAAGUUUUUAAAACAUAGCUGAAUUUAAUUUCUUGAAAAUAUUUUUAAAUACAAGAUUCAACUUUAAACAAAGUUAUAUUCUUGAAUUCUUUAUUCAUUUACAACAUUGGGUUCGUUAGACUGGUGUUUAUAUAUAGUCACUUGUGUGUAUAUGCUAACUGAUUUUCAUGAUUUUGGGUUUUUGGAGGAGUAUAGGCUGAUUUAUUAUUAGGUCUUUGAUUCUUUCAUCCAGAGCACUGGGGUUCCUUGUGAUUGGUGUUUAUAUAAACUUGUGUAUCUUUAUGCCUAACUAGUUUUCAUAAUUUUGGUUUGUGGAGAAAUGAUUAUAUACUCUUCUGCUAUUAUGUAUUGAAUUCUUGAUUAAACCGCAUGGAUGGCUUUAGUUUCUGCUGUACCAAAAGUCUUGAGAUUUAUAUUUUUUCUAAAAAUAUUCUGGUAAUUUUUUGUUUUUGCCAAAUGAAGGACUGCAGACAUUGAAUACUUUGUGAAGAGAAUGGUGUUUGCUUUCUGAUUAUUUUAUUAAACACCAGAAGCGUAGACAAUAAAAAUUGUUCAAGAUUAAGAUUUGCAAGUUGGAUUGAUAUUGGACAGAUCACCUAAGAGAGGAAAAUCUUGAAUACUUGAUUGGUAAUCAAAAGAAGUUUUGUUUCUGUCGAGUUAAUUCAUAAUCCAAUUUUUCCAUAUCAAAAUUCAUAAAUUAUAUAACAAAAUAGUACACCCUAACACCAAAGAUAAAAGACCCUUACGUGAACUCUACAGUUAGUACAGUUAGAAGUUAGAAUUACAUGUUUAAGAUUCCGAAAUGGAAAAAAUACAAUAGGAAAAUUGGAAAGGG